GGAAAUCAUGGAUGGCAAAAUGGUUGAUGGAAGCUUGAUGGAUUGACCAAAAAUAUGAUCGGAUGGGCGAUAUGAUGGAAUGCAAGUUAUGAUCCUGAAAACAAAUGUAAAAACAAAUGAGAUAUGAUUUCUAAUAUGAUAAAACAAGAUAAAUAAAGAUAGAUAGGAUGGAAUUAGGCUGCUGGUCGUGUGACACUCUCAGCCUAAUCAGUUGAUGAUUAAAGUGGAUUGAGAUGGUGCUUUGCUUGCUGGAUGUGUAUCACUCUCAAGCUUGGCAAACGAAAUGGAAUGGAAGGAUGGUGGAUUGAGGACGCCACAAGACUCUAUGGAAAGGAGUCUUGAUAAGUCAAGAUGCUCUGGAGCUGCUUCACACACACUCAAAAGACUUAGAACAAUAGUUUUGACAAAACUAGAAAAACUGAAUAAUUCAUAUUAAUUUCAAAGAUGGGGUGAUUUACAAAGAUUAAGGACUUGAGCUUAUAUAGGCUCGACUAAGACACUUUCUAACAGUCUAAAAUUGACUAAAGGAAACAAAUAAAUCGAAAUAAAAGUCUUGGCUGAGAAAGCUUUGAUGGCUCCAUGAGAACUAGCCAUUAGCUUUAUUUGUGCCUUCAAAAGGGAAUCUUGGAUGAUCUUGUAUAUGGAAAGCUUCUGGAUGUAGCCAUGGUCAAGAAGUCUUCCUGAUAUGUCUCUGAGUUGUCUAGAUGAAGAAUAUGGCCGUUGGUCUUGAAUAAAUAAUUGUAGAAACUCCUUCAAAGCAUUUAGUGUAGAUGCUGCCAAAUAUGGAAGGUUGAUGGGAAGAGAGAUCCGCCUGAUCUC
rnacentral:lncRNA from 1 species